CCGCCCUCCUCGGCCUCCCAAAGUGCUGGGAUUACAAGCUCGCCUGAGGGGAACAUUCAGAGAGACUUAUCGGCAGGACGUGUACAAAGAGGACAGAAGAGCAGAUGCAGCCUCCAAGAAUGAGCUGCUGAGGACGAGAGGGAUGCAGCCAAUGACCUGAAAGAGCGUGAGCCAACGUCUGUCCAAGCUCUGGUCCUGCUUCGUGCCUGCCCUGUGAUACUGGGCAAGUUGCUCAUCCCUGGACUUCUUUCUCCUCCAUAAAACACGGCUUUGGGAGCAACUUGCUCUCCAAGGGCCAUUCCAACUCUAACAUUAUAAUUUUAUCAUAUGGGAUUUGGCAUAAUUGGUUAUCUCUGAACACUUACACUUUUUUUUUUUUUUUGAGAUGGAUUCUUGCUCUGUUGCCCA